CUGCAACUCGACUACAUNAAGCUGGAAUCGCUAGUAAUCGCGAAUCAGCAUGUCGCGGUGAAUACGUUCCCGGGUCUUGUACACACCGCCCGUCACACCAUGGGAGUUGGUAACGCCCGAAGCCAGUGACCCAACCUUAAGAGGAGGGAGCUGUCGAAGGUGGGACCGAUAACUGGGGUGAAGUCGUAACAAGGUAUC
rnacentral:rRNA from 1 species